rnacentral:rRNA from 1 species
CCAGUUUUGCUCCAAGGACCAAUCAAAAAAGGCGCCCGUACCGUAAACCGACACAGGUGGGUGAGGAGAGUAUCCUAAGGCCAGCGAGAGAACUAUUGUUAAGGAACUCGGCAAAAUGACCCCGUAACUUAGGGAGAAGGGGUGCCUGUCUAUGACAGGCCGCAGAGAAUAGGCCCAAGCGACUGUUUACCAAAAACACAGGUUUCUGCUAAGUCGCAAGACGAUGUAUAGGAGCUGACGCCUGCCCGGUGCUGGAAGGUUAAGGGGAUCUGUUAGAGCAAUCGAAGCAGUGAACUUAAGCCCCAGUAAACGGCGGCCGUAACGAUAACGGUCCUAAGGUAGCGAAAUUCCUUGUCGGGUAAGUUCCGACCCGCACGAAAGGCGUAACGAUUUGGGCACUGUCUCAACAAUAGACUCGGUGAAAUUGUAAUCCCGGUGAAGAUGCCGGGUACCUGCGACAGGACGGAAAGACCCCAUGGAGCUUUACUGUAGCUUGACGUUGGGUCUUGGUACUACAUGUACAGGAUAGGUGGGAGACUAUGAAGCAUGGACGCCAGUCUGUGUGGAGUCAUCCUUGGGAUACCACCCUUGUAGUACUGGGAUCCUAACCAUAGGCCUUGAAUCAGGUCUUGGAACACCGUCAGGUGGGCAGUUUGACUGGGGCGGUCGCCUCCUAAAAAGUAACGGAGGCGCUCAAAGGUUUCCUCAGCACGGUCGGAAAUCGUGCGAAGAGUGUAAAGGCAAAAGGAAGCUUGAUUGCAAGACAUACAGGUCGAGCAAGGACGAAAGUCGGACUUAGUGAUCCGGUGGUACCGCAUGGAAGGGCCAUCGCUCAACGGAUAAAAGCUACCCUGGGGAUAACAGGCUUAUCUCCCCCAAGAGUCCACAUCGACGGGGAGGUUUGGCACCUCGAUGUCGGCUCAUCACAUCCUGGGGCUGUAGUAGGUCCCAAGGGUUGGGCUGUUCGCCCAUUAAAGUGGUACGCGAGCUGGGUUCAGAACGUCGUGAGACAGUUCGGUCCCUAUCCGUCGCAGGCGUAGGAAAUUUGAGAAGACCUGUCCUUAGUACGAGAGGACCGGGAUGGACGUACCUCUGGUGUACCAGCUGUUCUGCCAAGGGCAUGGCUGGGUAGCUAUGUACGGAAUGGAUAAGCGCUGAAAGCAUCUAAGCGCGAAGCCAACUUCAAGAUAAGAUUUCCCACCGUAAGGGUAAGACCCCAGGAAGACUACCUGGUUGAUAGGUCGAAGGUGUAAGUGCAGUAAUGUAUUUAGCUUAUCGAUACUAAUAGGUCGAGGACUUGACCG